rnacentral:rRNA from 1 species
UUGGUGACCAGCGGAGGGAUCAUUACCGAGUUUACAACUCCCAAACCCAAUGUGAACGUUACCAAACUGUUGCCUCGGCGGGAUCUCUGCCCCGGGUGCGUCGCAGCCCCGGACCAAGGCGCCCGCCGGAGGACCAACCAAAACUCUUUUUGUAUACCCCCUCGCGGGUUUUUUAUAAUCUGAGCCUUCUCGGCGCCUCUCGUAGGCGUUUCGAAAAUGAAUCAAAACUUUCAACAACGGAUCUCUUGGUUCUGGCAUCGAUGAAGAACGCAGCGAAAUGCGAUAAGUAAUGUGAAUUGCAGAAUUCAGUGAAUCAUCGAAUCUUUGAACGCACAUUGCGCCCGCCAGUAUUCUGGCGGGCAUGCCUGUCCGAGCGUCAUUUCAACCCUCGAACCCCUCCGGGGGGUCGGCGUUGGGGAUCGGCCCUCCCUUAGCGGGUGGCCGUCUCCGAAAUACAGUGGCGGUCUCGCCGCAGCCUCUCCUGCGCAGUAGUUUGCACACUCGCAUCGGGAGCGCGGCGCGUCCACAGCCGUUAAACACCCAACUUCUGAAAUGUUGACCUCGGAUCAGGUAGGAAUACCCGCUGAACUUAAGCAUAUCAA